AGAUAAUAGAUACCCGGGUAGUCCAUGCCGUAAACGUUGGGCACUAGGUGUGGGGGACAUUCCACGUUUUCCGCGCCGUAGCUAAACGCAUUAAGUGCCCCGCCUGGGGAGUACGGCCGCAAGGCUAAAACUCAAAGGAAUUGACGGGGGCCCGCACAAGCGGCGGAGCAUGCGGAUUAAUUCGAUGCAACGCGAAGAACCUUACCAAGGCUUGACAUGGACCGGAUCGCUGCAGAAAUGUGGUUUCUCCUUUGGGGCCGGUUCACAGGUGGUGCAUGGUUGUCGUCAGCUCGUGUCGUGAGAUGUUGGGUUAAGUCCCGCAACGAGCGCAACCCUCGUUCCAUGUUGCCAGCACGUGAUGGUGGGGACUCAUGGGAGACUGCCGGGGUCAACUCGGAGGAAGGUGGGGACGACGUCAAAUCAUCAUGCCCCGUUAUGUCUUGGGCUUCACGCAUGCUACAAUGGCCGGUACAAAGGGUUUGCGAUACUGUGAGGUGGAGCUAAUCCCAAAAGCCGGUCUCAGUUCGGAUUGGGGUCUGCAACU
rnacentral:rRNA from 1 species